GACGAACGCUGGCGGCGUGCCUAAUACAUGCAAGUCGAGCGGAUCUUCAUUAGCUUGCUUUUGAAGAUCAGCGGCGGACGGGGGAGUAACACGUGGGCAACCUGCCUGUAAGACUGGGAUAACUUCGGGAAACCGGAGCUAAUACCGGAUAAUCCUUUUCCUCUCAUGAGGAAAAGCUGAAAGACGGUUUCGGCUGUCACUUACAGCUGGGCCCGCGGCGCAUGAGCUAGUUGGUGAGGUAACGGCUCACCAAGGCGACGAUGCGUAGCCGACCUGAGAGGGUGAUCGGCCACACUGGGACUGAGACACGGCCCAGACUCCUACGGGAGGCAGCAGUAGGGAAUCUUCCGCAAUGGACGAAAGUCUGACGGAGCAACGCCGCGUGAGCGAUGAAGGCCUUCGGGUCGUAAAGCUCUGUUGUCAGGGAAGAACAAGUACCGGAGUAACUGCCGGUACCUUGACGGUACCUGACCAGAAAGCCACGGCUAACUACGUGCCAGCCGCCGCUGUAAUAC
rnacentral:rRNA from 1 species